GUAGUCCUAGCCCUAAACUAUGGAUGCUUGGUGUGAUCGGUACCCAAUCCGAUCGUGCCGAAGCUAACGCGAUAAGCAUCCCGCCUGGGGAGUACGGUCGCAAGACUGAAACUCAAAGGAAUUGACGGGGGCCCGCACAAGCGGUGGAGCAUGUGGUUCAAUUCGACGCAACGCGAAGAACCUUACCUGGGCUCGAAAUGUAGGAGACAGGGGUAGAAAUAUCCCUUUCCGCAAGGACCCCUAUAUAGGUGCUGCAUGGCUGUCGUCAGCUCGUGUCGUGAGAUGUUGGGUUAAGUCCCGCAACGAGCGCAACCCUUAUCUCUAGUUGCCAUCGGGUCAAGCCGGGCACUCUAGCGAAACCGCGUAGGAUAACUACGA
rnacentral:rRNA from 1 species